AUGCGCUCCCAGAAAAAAAUCUUUUUUUUUUAAUUUUCGAAACCUCAGCUACGGCCUGUCGGUUAUGGGCCAUGAGGUGUCAUCCCGGAGUUGAAAAUCUUGUUUGAAAAGAAUCCGGCUUAAUCAUGUAACGUGAGAAAAAUCAACUUGGUAAAUGAGGAAGGCAUAAAUUGUAACAAAGCACAGCGGUGCGGUGCAACGACCCGGUAAGCCUGAUGAACUCGUACAAAACAUGUUUGACACAGUCUCACACAAUUCACUCACCCUUUGUAAAUCAAUCAACACGUUUUUCCCGAGGCAAUGCCUAUGUUCAGUUCACAUAGCACGUGAUUUUUAUGACUACAUAUUGUUAUUGUUGGCGCUAGCGCGGAUAUAUUCAAAGUGACACGUCUAAAAAGGUUGUGUCUUUGUGGCAGAGAUAAAGUGGUGUAUAUAAGAUCAUAGAUGGGUCCACGUGGUUUCAGAUUUCUACUGUAGGGUAAAAAGGUUGUGUUCAAGUGACAAAGUUCAAGAUCAAAGAAACAUAUCACGGGUGGAUGUGUUUUUCAAAUAUGGAAUAUUAAAUGUAUGUAUUUUACCCCUUUUUAUCUGGAUUUUUAAGGCAAAACUGAUUUAUAUUUGCUUCAGUUCUUACACAUGUCUUUCUGUAUUUUAUACAAUUAACAGUGUUACAAUGGAAACAUACAUCUAUAUUCUGAUAUAGGUGCUAUAAAUGAAUGACCGAUUCUGUAAUAUUGUUCAUGGAUUGCCUUCAUUGAUU
rnacentral:lncRNA from 1 species